AACGAACGCUGGCGGCAUGCCUAACACAUGCAAGUCGAACGAAGUCUUCGGACUUAGUGGCGCACGGGUGCGUAACGCGUGGGAAUCUGCCCUUGGGUGCGGAAUAACUUCUCGAAAGGGAUGCUAAUACCGCAUAAUGUCGUAAGACCAAAGAUUUAUCGCCCAAGGAUGAGCCCGCGUAAGAUUAGCUAGUUGGUGGGGUAAAAGCCUACCAAGGCGACGAUCUUUAGCUGGUCUGAGAGGAUGAUCAGCCACACUGGGACUGAGACACGGCCCAGACUCCUACGGGAGGCAGCAGUGGGGAAUAUUGGACAAUGGGCGAAAGCCUGAUCCAGCAAUGCCGCGUGAGUGAUGAAGGCCCUAGGGUUGUAAAGCUCUUUUACCCGAGAUGAUAAUGACAGUAUCGGGAGAAUAAGCUCCGGCUAACUCCGUGCCAGCA
rnacentral:rRNA from 1 species